rnacentral:rRNA from 2 species
GGGUUGGGGGGGUGCCCAAAAAAUGCAAGGUCGAGCGAAUGGAUUAAGAGCUUGCUCUUAUGAAGUUAGCGGCGGACGGGUGAGUAACACGUGGGUAACCUGCCCAUAAAACUGGGAUAACUCCGGGAAACCGGGGCUAAUACCGGAUAACAUUUUGAACUGCAGGGUUCAAAAUUGAAAGGCGGCUUCGGCUGUCACUUAUGGAUGGACCCGCGUCGCAUUAGCUAGUUGGUGAGGUAACGGCUCACCAAGGCAACGAUGCGUACCCAACCUGAGAGGGUGAUCGGCCACACUGGGACUGAAACACGGCCCAAACUCCUACGGGAGGCAGCAGUAGGGAAUCUUCCGCAAUGGACAAAAGUCUGACGGACCAACGCCGCGUGAGUGAUGAAGGCUUUCGGGUCGUAAAACUCUGUUGUUAGGGAAAAACAAGUGCUAGUUGAAUAAGCUGGCACCUUGACGGUACCUAACCAAAAAGCCACGGCUAACUACGUGCCAGCAGCCGCGGUAAUACGUAGGUGGCAAGCGUUAUCCGGAAUUAUUGGGCGUAAAGCGCGCGCAGGUGGUUUCUUAAGUCUGAUGUGAAAGCCCACGGCUCAACCGUGGAGGGUCAUUGGAAACUGGAAGACUUGAGUGCAGAAGAGGAAAGUGGAAUUCCAUGUGUAGCGGUGAAAUGCGUAGAGAUAUGGAGGACACCAGUGGCGAAGGCGACUUUUCUGGUCUGUAACUGACACUGAGGCGCGAAAGCGUGGGGAGCAAACAGGAUUAGAUACCCUGGUAGUCCACGCCGUAAACGAUGAGUGCUAGUGUUAGAGGGUUUCCGCCCUUUAGUGCUGAGUACGCAUAGCACUCGCUUGGGGGAGUACGGCGCAAGCUGAACUCAAGAUGACGGAGCCGCCAGCGUUGACAUGUGUUUAACUCGAAGCAACGCGAAGAAUUCU